rnacentral:lncRNA from 12 species
UGGUUAAAUUCAUCCAUCUCUUGCCUUUCAGGUCACAAAACUUUUCCCAGGUCUGAAAAUCCUCUUGGUAAGGAAGAAUGGAGAUGCCUGCACUGAUAAUUAUUCCAAUUACUAUUUUGUUAACUACUGCAAGAAGAUGUAAGCAAAGAGCAACUGGGGCUGCUGUGGGAACCUUACAUUGCCAAGUGCUUCUCUGGAAAAAGCACCUCCCUGUGGUCAGGGCUGAUCAGGUAACUCUCAACCAGAUCCUGGAGAACAUCUUGGAGUCCAAGAAGGACUUAAGGGAUUGUUUAAAAGAUGAGGUGAUGAAAGCUGCGAUUUUACAACAACAUCACUUUUUCUGAUGUUCAGAUUGUGAGCCAGGUGGAGACACCACAGAUUAAUCUGAAUCAAAUUAUUUAUCUACAUCAUGACCUAAAAACCACCAUGCUUUUGCAUGGUUUUGUUCAUUUUUAGAGAGAAGUUGAAAUAGAACCUUUUUUAAGGCAUCAGGUUUUUUUAUUUGCUUUUUUUUUUUUUUUUUUGGUCCUUUUCCAUAUGCUUUAAACACGUCUUUAGCUAUUGAGUGCCUGUAAACCCCAAUCUCCUAUUUCAGAAAUUCUGUCCAUGUUCCCUGUGUUUCACAGUUGUGACCCCUGUACAUUGAAUAAGGAAACCAUUUUUCC